rnacentral:rRNA from 1 species
GGCCGCAGUAUAUUAACUGUGCAAAGGUAGCAUAAUCAUUAGUCUUUUAAUUGAAGGCUAGAAUGAAUGGUUGGACGAAAUAUUAAUUGUUUCAUUAAAAUUUAAUUUAGAAUUUUAUUUUUUAGUAAAAAAGCUUGAAUAAAUUUAAAAGACGAGAAGACCCUAUAAAGCUUUAUAUUUAAAUUAUUAAAAUUAUUUAUUAUUUUUUAAAUUUUAAUAAUUAAUAAUAUUUUAUUGGGGUGAUAUUAAAAUUUGAUAAACUUUUAAUUUUUUUUUCAUUAAUUUAUGAUUAAUUGAUCCAAUAUUAUUGAUUAUAAAAUUAAGUUACUUUAGGGAUAACAGCGUAAUUUUUUUGGAGAGUUCAUAUUGAUAAAAAAGAUUGCGACCUCGAUGUUGGAUU